UAGGGAAUCUUCCGCAAUGGACGAAAGUCUGACGGAGCAACGCCGCGUGAGUGAUGAAGGUUUUCGGAUCGUAAAACUCUGUUGUUAGGGAAGAACAAGUACCGGAGUAACUGCCGGCACCUUGACGGUACCUAACCAGAAAGCCACGGCUAACUACGUGCCAGCAGCCGCGGUAAUACGUAGGUGGCAAGCGUUGUCCGGAAUUAUUGGGCGUAAAGCGCGCGCAGGUGGUUCCUUAAGUCUGAUGUGAAAGCCCACGGCUCAACCGGGGAGGGUCAGUGGAAACUGGGGAACUUGAGUGCAGAAGAGGAAAGUGGAAUUCCAAGUGUAGCGGUGAAAUGCGUAGAGAUUUGGAGGAACACCAGUGGCGAAGGCGACUUUCUGGUCUGUAACUGACACUGAGGCGCGAAAGCGUGGGGAGCGAACAGG
rnacentral:rRNA from 1 species